AAGAUAAUAAAUGUAUCGUUCAAUUAUUGUCUUUUUUAUAUUUUUCUACAUGUCUUUUCUCUCAAAAGAAAUUGACGCAUGUACACCUUUGAAUCAAAAUUGUGAAAAAAGUUCCGAAUGUUGUACUUUAAAAUGUUCACCAAGCAGAAAGAAAUGUAUUCCUGGAAGGGGCUAAAAAAAAUUAUAAUUCAAAAAAAACAAGUAAUAUAUCUUCAUUGGAAUUUUUAUCUACAUGGACGAAGUGUAUAAAAAAAAAUCUCAAAUUUUCUAAAGAAAAUUUUUAUAAAAAUAAAAAUUCUAGCUUAUGAUUUUUAUGCUCUCUUAAUUUGAAUCAGUGAAAUUUCACUGGUGAAAUAGCUAGAAGUCGGUUACUGAAUCAUUUAGUGAAAUUUUCACUGAAAAUCAGUCAUAUAUCACUGAUUUCCAGUAAAAAUUUCACUAAAUGAAUCACUCAAUCUGUAUUAUCGGUAAUGGGUAAAACAAACAGACUGAUUCAUUUAGUAAAAUUUUCACUGGAAAUCAGUGAUAUAUGACUGAUUUUCAGUGAAAAUUUCAUUAAAUGAUUCAGUAACCGACUUCUAGCUAUUUCACCAGUGAAAUUUCACUGAUUCAAAUUAAGAGAGUGGGAUAUUUAUGCGCUUCAAAAAGAUGUAUAAUAUAAAUAAAAAUCAAACCUAAACCUA